rnacentral:rRNA from 1 species
UACAGAGGGGGCAAGCGUUAUUCGGAAUUAUUGGGCGUAAAGGGCGCGUAGGCGGCCUGGCAAGUGGAAGGUGAAAUCCCUCGGCUUAACCGAGGAACUGCCCUCCAAACUGCUUGGCUUGAGACCGGGAGAGGUGAGUGGAAUUCCCAGUGUAGCGGUGAAAUGCGUAGAUAUUGGGAGGAACACCAGUGGCGAAGGCGGCUCACUGGACCGGUACUGACGCUGAGGCGCGAAAGCGUGGGGAGCAAACGGG